UUUGCUUGUAUUUCCUUUUAAAGCACUUUGAAUUGCCUUGUUGCUGAAAAUGUGCUAUAUAAAUAAAAAAUACCUUUACCUUUUACAUCCUGUUGUUGAAAUUCGUGAUCAUUUUUUUUCGUCAACAGUGCUUCUACUUUUGUGCUUUUGGCGUGUAAUCUGGCAGCAUACGUGCUGGAUGGUGGGAUUUUAGACUCACCAACUCACUGACUGUCGUCAUGAUUUUGGUAACAACUCGUCACGACUAACUAGUUAGCCUCGGGUUGGAUUAUUCUCAACUGAUUACAGAUUGUUUUAAAAAAGAUUGAGAUGGGUGAAAAGUCUUAAUUGUGAAUAAUAAUUUUUUUUUAAACUAAGCAGACUCUGAUUUUUUUGUUUUCCCACACAAUGUAACUAAACUCUCGUCUCGUGUCUGGAAGCAUCGUUGCAUCCCUGUAAGGGACACAAAGGAAGACAGGAUUGAUCCAAAGAGAAGAGACGACAUGCAGCUGGGGGACAGCUACCUUACUACACACACACACCCACACACACACACACACACUGCAUUUAUAGCAACAUAUUAAAACGCCUGGAGUUGUUGAAUCCAUUGCUUGAGUGAUACUUAUGUGAGUGGAUUGCUUUCUCCCAAUGGCUUAUGCGUUUGCUUCUGGACAUUCCUGACGAUCCAUGUAGGUUUCUCUUUCCACAGUAGAGGAGGUUGUUUGGAAAUGAAUAAAAGUUAACUGGAGAGACAACAGAAAUGACCACAUGUGUAAACUGGACAGGAAUUUAAAAAAAACAACAAAAAAACAACAAAAAAACAGCUGGCAGGGCGGAGAACAGGAAUAAAACUGGUAAUAAAGACGGAGAACAGGGAGGUCCACCAAGUCCCACUGAGAGACGCAGAACAAGGCGUUGGUCAUCUACACAUCGGUAAAAGAAUAUUUAAAUUCUCCUGAAAACUGGACCCAAUAAAUUUGAUUUAAACCGACGUGCACCUAUGCUUUCUGUUUUCGUUAUUGUAACGGAUCUCAAUGAUGCGUCCCGAUUUACAACGAUGUCGGUGAACACUGGCUCUGUGUGACCUUGAGACCACGGACAGCUCCAUCCUUCGUCUGCACCUGGCAGGGUCGCGGCGGGGCUGAUGCCUACCUCCAGCGGUCAUUGGACAAGAGACGGGGUACAGCCUGGACAGGCUACCUGUCCACCACGGGGCAACACAGAGACACACAGGACAGACAGCCAUGCACACACACACACACACACACACACACACACACUCACACAAUCACACAUAAAGAAAAUUUAGAGACGCCAAAUAACUUCACUGAAGGUGAGAAUCCAUGCAUGCAAAGGGAGAACAUGCAAACUUUAUGCAGAAAGACCCCAGGCCAGGAUUUGACACAAAUAACUUAUCGUACUUUGCUCCAGUAAAUAAAUAAAAAAAUAAAUAAAACACACAAAUGUUUAAAAUGAAUGAAAUUUCAUUUCACUUUGUUAAAUUAAUCUUUUCUUGUGACCUCCUAUUGAGCACAUCUGACCAAAAGAUCUGCUUAUAUGUGAAAAUAUUUCCAGUCUAAGAUGCUCCAGUGUGAUGCUUGAGGCUAAAGAAGUGAAAGUGAUUAUUACUCAGAACUUGUCUAUUCCAUAUGCAUAAAACAAAACAGUUUUAACAGUGACAUGGACGGUAGAUUCAUUAUUUGCUUUAGAUAUGUGCACAUAUUUUAAUCCCCGUCUGAAUAUGCAAACCCCAGCAUGCUAGUAAAAAUGGAGAGCUAAACGGGGUGAAGCAGCAAACAUAAAUGAAUCAGUGCAUUGUGUUCAGGCUAUAUUCUAUUCAUAAAACAUUCUCAUUACAUUAAUGCAUCUCCGGCUCUGUAACGCGUCAGUUCUUUCAAACGGUUAACCCUCAGAGAUCUGAGCGAAACGGGAGGACGACUUUUCCUCUGAGUGUCUGCUUCCUCUCCUACCGCAGGUCUCUUUCUGAAUAAACGGAAGGAUUUGCGUUUGUGGGCCGGGGUUUUGUGCGGCUAAAUCUGCGAGAAAGCAUAAGUGGAAGCAAACGGAAGCGGAGGGGAAAGGGUUAGAAAUAAACGGGGGCAAACGGAAAGGUGCAGAAAGGUUGAACAGCGGCAGAAUCCAAACAAGAGAACGAGCGCCGUGGGAGAGCCUGCAGAACGAGUCUGAAGGGAAAGGAUGUGCUGCAAGCUGGAAGAGUGUGUGUGGGUGUGUGUGUGUACAAGUAUCUGUGUCAGAGAGACCAUUUGUUUACAUCUCUGCAUCCCUGAUUUCCGUGGAUUGUUAUCACAGUGCCACCUGGGGCCAGUGCCAAUUAUAUCCAUACUGAGCUCGUCAGUCACGCGCCACAGACAGUUUCUACAGGGUAGAAACAGGAAAUAGACGGCGAGGGAUUCAUUAAUGUGGGUGUCUUUAUUAAUAUCGCAAUAAAGACAAAGUCGAGUCGGUGUUGGCACGAACGGAUCCCUUGGCGAGCAGCUCUUCUGCCACCCCACCAACCAAUUACAACACAUAAAAAAAAAAAAACAUUUAAGAAAAAACAAAACACUUCAAUUCACAACCCGACAGAUAAGUUGUGUUUCACAUAGACUCGUGUCGCCCUGGGCAACUGCCCACAUCCCAGGCAGGAGGAGGGGAGGGAUGAAAAGAGGAUUUGGGGAAAUCAUCUAAAUACUGAGGCCGGAUUAAAAACAGCGCCGACCAAAGAAAAGAAUACAAAAUGGUCUCCCCUGCGCUCAGCAGCAGGCGAACACUGCAUAUACAUACAGUUUAUAUUAAAGCAAUAGAAAACAUUUUCCAGAAGUUAUUUUAAGUAUGAGCCCAUUCAAAUAUGAAAAAAGUUGGGAAACCAUGUUUUGUUUUCCCUUUGCUUUCAAAAAUAAUGCUAUAAAGAAGAAAAAAAAAUCAUUUUGAGAGGAUUUUCAGUUUCUGUAAAUUAAAAAUCUACAAAGACAUUUUUUCUUCUUUGGAGCCUCAGUCAGUAUUUGUUUUAUUUAUGUGUAAUAAAUAUUUAUUUUUUUUUCUCACACUGAGCUGUGAGACGCAGAUAAAAUACAGUAAGCUGUAAAACGCAUCAGCAGCUCCUAAGCUUGAAUUUGAGGUAAAUCAACCAUUUGAUGCAGGUCUUUUGCAUAUCACUGCUUAGCUUUUAUAGAGGUGAUAGAAAACCAGCUCAGGCAAUCUCUCUUUCAUUACUCUGGCAUUUAGUGUUUAAUCAUUUGAAGCCUUACUGACACAACGCCAGCGUUGCUUAUUAUGGCAACACUGGCUUUUGAGUUCAUGAAUAUCCUACAAGGUUGUUUUAUGUUUCAGAGCUUUAUAUCAGAUGUUGGUUUUCCCAUACCAAACAUCAAAUGGAUUAGAAAACUCUCUUCUACUGCUGAGCAACAUGUUCAGUGCAAAUCUGGCUGGUAAUUCAGUUCUCCAGAAACUUCUCUGAUCGAUCAGCAAUCCUCAUCUUCCUCCUCUGUUCUCUCUCGUUAGCUGCAAUUCUUCUCUGAUCCUGCCUCGUGUUUCUUUUCAGUUUCCUCUCUGUUUUUUUUUUUCUUUAAAGGCAAAACGUCUGUAGUUGCGGAAAUGUCGAUGUCGAUCGUAAGCUCACGCAACGAACCGAAAGUCUUGAUGCUUUAAUUUCAGCCCUCUGUUCUCUCGCUCUGAUCUUCUGGAAGUUCUGAAAGGCAACCGAGUCACCGAGGGAAAACAUCCAUAAUAAGCUCACUGAUGAGUCAGGACCGUGGCAGAUUACAGCCACAACGGACGUCCGAUAUAAUUAAAAUGAGAGCAAAGAACAAAAACAGAGUUGGACAGCUAAGCCGGGAUUGUUUGAGUGGAAAUGUUUGUUCAUAUCAAAAUGUAAACAACACGUUGGCAGGCGGAUCUCAUUGUUGGGGUCUCCUGAGGUUUCCCUUUAUCCAGUCUCUCUCACAUCGAAUGAUCUCAGGAGAGAUUUCCUGCUCAUGUUCAACAUAUUUCAAAUAAUCAAUAUCUCUUUAAACUCGCUAAAACUCGCUAAUGUCCAAACACAGCUUUUCUCAAAUUCUUGCCAAAUCCAAACAAAGCGAAACGAAAAUGGUCCAAUUAGAUUUAAGAGAUGGUGAAAGUCUGCAGAUGGUUGAUGUGCUGCGCACCAUUCCUGACACACUUCCAGCUCGGUGGAUCUUAGAUGGGCAGUGGCUGGGCUAUUUUUAAAUGAAACUAACAUUUCUUCAGGACUCGUUUUAGAUAAUGGUGUGUUGAAGCUCCUUAAAGCUUUCUUCAUGUAGUAUCAGAAGGCAAAAAGAGAAUUAAGAAGAGUAUUGAAAGGUCUUAUCCACUUUGAACAAUUAUUGGCAUCCAUUCUUUAACUUCUGGCUGAGGAUGUUGCUUCAGUGUUUCCACAAAAUGCUCUUUGACUUGAUUUUUUUUAUCAGUUCCUCAUUCAGCAAAACACCGUCAGGGCUUGACGCUGCCGCCUCCAUGCAGGCUUUCCACGUUUUUGUCAUAAUUUAGAUUAACUUUUAUUUUAAUCAACCCCCAGGACGUGUGUCCAAAACUUAAUAUCUUUGUUUCUAAUUGGAUUUCCAAACUACGCUCUGGCUUUUUACGCCGUCAUUGUAGAAACGACUUCUUCCUUUCUGCGUGGCGUUUUAGCCCAUUUCAGCACAGAACACUUUGCCUCUUUUAUUGUCAUAUGCAGACAUGCUUUAAACCUCGAAGAUUACGCUCACCUCAGUUUUAUACUUAACUCUUUGGUACGAUUCUGUUCCAGCUGCACAACAGGAGAUGGCAAAGAAGGAACCUAAAACUGUUGAAAGUCACACUUAACCAAAGUUAGAAAUGAUUGACAAACUCGCGGAUGGACGUUUUGCGAACAUCCUCCCCGCCAUCUAUACUUGUUGCCAUUUUUAAUGUGGCAUGAAGCUCUAUCAUAAUUGGGGGAAAAAAGCGAGAGAGAGAGAGAGAGAAAGAGAGAGAGAAACCCAUCUCCAGCCAAUCAGUGUGUGAAGUGGGUGUGAAUGUCGGCUCAUCGGAUGCAAAAAAAAAAAAAAAAAAACGCCUUGAAGUUGCACAAGUGGUGGUUUGAGAAGCUUUUCAACCAUCCUGCCGGCAACCCAUGCAUAUGAAGCACUCGCAUCCUGGCAGCUCUCUGGCGGCGCUACGGCAACAGAGUCAGAAGGAUGAUACAGAUGAUUCAUCUGGGGCACCGUCGCUGUCGAUUCAGUUCUGUAGAUGGUGCUGUGAAGUGGGCCAUUCUCUGUCCUCUGCUGUUUAUAAAAGGGAAGCUAAUUCACUCGGGGGCCCGCCAGAGGACAUCUUUGCAACACACAGAGGACCUGAGAGCACGUCCACUUUUACACAUGAACCGCAAAGACGCUUGUUCGCCCUGGUGAAAAAAAGAAUAAAUAUAAGUAUAUUUAUUUAAAAUAUCCUGUAUUUUUCUGAAAUACAUUUUUAGUAGCUACUUGUUAAAAUUAUAUUGAUAAUUUACCAAAAUUCUACUUUGGACAAUCCUUUUUGAAAAAUAGACGUUGCAUGUAUUUGUAUAAACGUGUAGUUUGAAUGUAGAUUUUAAAAAUAUAUUACAAAUACAUACAAACAAUGCUUUUCUGAAGUUGUACUUUGGGUAAUAUUUUGAAUAGGUUCUAUGUAUAUUUUAGUAAACCUUAAUAAAUCUCAAAAUAAACACAUUUCUAUAAUAUUUGUAAAUAGUGUCUAAGUAUAUUUUAAUGAAACACUUUCCGUGUUCACACACGCUAACAAAGUAGGUUCCUUGAUAAUCUGUUACUAUUUCGUUAAAACGACAGCAAAAAAAUUAACAAUCCUUACAGUGGAAAUUACUGCUUUUGCUACUGUUUUUAGGCGGAGCAGUGAGAAGUAAGUAGAGACAUUAAAAGUAUGUUUUAAUUUGAAAUAUGGGCCAUUUUUGCUUCAAAAUUAGAACGUCAGAUCUGCUACGAAACAGGUAUCAUCAUGUGCUUAAAGUCAAAGUGAGCAGGUUGAAUUAACACGUUCAGUUUGAUGUUCACACUGAUAACCAAGUAAAAAGUGAACUUAAUUAGCAAUUAUAAUAAACCAAAAGUCUAAUUGGAGCAUACUGUGAUCACAAUGCUAAUAUCUAAAAUAUAUAAAGCUUAUAUAUUUAGAAAAUGUUCUAAAUAUAUUUUAAAUGUAAUUCGAUCACAAAAAUGGUAUUUAAGGUAUACUAAUCCAUAUUACAUAAAAAGUGUUACACUUAAAGUAUAUAAAGUAUACGUUUAGUUGUUAAAAAAAAGCUAGUAGUGCACUUAGUGCAUGUUAUAUUGUGAUUUUCUACAAUUACUUUUAAAAUACAUUAAGCAGAAAAUUAGUUGUUCCAAAGUAGAACACUUCAAGUUAAAUAAUCCUGAACAAACCUGAAGUACACUGAUGAUUAGUCCGGCUUCAAGUAUGCUGAAGUACGCUAAGAUUUUAUACAUCUAUUUUUCAUAAGGGCGUGUCGGAGUGUGUGCGGGUUUGUGCAUCGAUCCGGCGCCGUACGGCAGGUUUUCUCCCAGUCGUUUGAAGGGCACCGGAGCCCACUUUGUGGCUUUACCAGCCAAGCAGUCGUCACUCCCCAGCCACACAAAUGUGCAUUAAAAACUGCAGCAGCAUCAGCAGCAGCAUCAUUCACGCUGUGUACUGAGAGCAGAUGAUUCAUAAACUCCAGCACAAUGGAGACAGGUGGGAGUAAGCGUCCGUCUGCUCCUCACUGGCCAGAUAACUGUUUGUUGUGCAUUAAAAUGUCAAGAGAUGUUAAGUGGGGGCUUUUGUUAUGUCUGUCACCUUCCGCCUGAAGGCAUCCUGGGGUUCAGCUGUUAUAGAUUGACACAUUUUUACGUAUUUGACUUUAAAAUGUAUUUCAGUGGGUGAGCUGAGGCAUGAGGGCCGACCGAUUCUAAACGUUAUUGUGCAAAAUAGUUUCCUUUUGCAUCUGAAACAUGUCAGAUCAGCCUUCCUAACUGUUUCAAUACGGGAAUAAGCGACACAUCAGAUACAGAAGGCUCUCUUUUCACAAAAAGAGAACUUAUUUUAUGAAAAGCUUUGAGGAGUGAGCCACAUCAGAGAGAAAAUGUGGAUUUUGUGACGUGUCAACGUGUUUGAGCCCCUGCUGGAGCUCUGAUAGGCGCAGCUUGUGGUUAAUAAUAACUGAGCCCGACUGCUGCGGGCCCGAUCCUGGUGUUACUGUUGUGGAUCGACUAACAGGGAUCCGGCUGGAUUUCAGCUAUUCUGUUAUAAUCAAGUGUGACCCCUUUCAGGGAAGAAUCGACUGUUUCCUGAUUAAUGCAAUAGGUCAAAGGUAGCACUGGGGCUAAAUGCCAGCAUGGGAACAGUUAGACAGACAGAAAAUCACUCAGUAAGACAUAAAAAUCUUUGAAUGACUUCAACAAGUGCCCUCGUUGAGGGGUUUUUACAGACCAUCCGGCUGAUAAUGAGAAUCCACAGUAAUCUCUGUCUGCAAAUUGUUUUAGAAAUGUAAAAAAAAAAAGUUAAGUGUUGUGAGGAUCGUAGCUUAGAAGCAUCAUACCUACAUCGCACAAAAAUGCCAAUGCUGCGACGUUUAUGUACCUGCUAUUUAAAUAUCAGUUGCAUAGAAUAACGCUACUUAAUCUGGUGCGACUCCAAGCAGACACUCAGUCUGAAGACGAUUCACUCACCACAGGGUGCAAAAUGCUUGAAACAGUUGGCACAGCAGGAGAGCUGGUAUUGAUUUCUGAUAAAUAAUGCUAAAAAUGAGCAAAUUUUUAGCAUUAAUAAAGACCAAACAUAAAAUGAAGAAAAACAAGUAAGGGUUGUGACUGGAGGUUCAUCAAAAAACCUAGAUUUAAAUCAAACUGUCUUUGUCUGUCAAAUGAAAGCCAGCUGAGAUGAGAGUCUCACAGCCACUGUCCACAGAGAAGACUGAGCAGAAAAUGUUUAGUUGGUGCAAGUAAAGCUGGAAAUGCAGCAGGACUCUGCAAAGUUUUGACUCAACAGCUAAACGCAAACAUGUGUAACAAUUUCAGUACCGUCACAUAAUUUGACUCAGUUUUAUGGCUGCGGAAACUUUCCUUCCUUUCGAGGAAGGAAAUGAAAAACACAAAACAAGGUCCGUGGAGUAUUAAGAUUGAGACAUGUUUUAACAUGACUGACUCAUCUUAGCAAAUCACACGUAAUAGGGGAGGAUAAGCUUUGAUUAAAAAAAAAAAAGAAAGUGAUGUCUCUGGAAGCUGCUCCCACAGAGGGCUUAUAUUGAUGCGGUUAUCACUAAAGACACAGUGGCUGAGCCCGCUCUGUGUGAAGGCGUGUGUGUGUGUCCAAGCAAAGCAAAACAAUGCUGUAAUGCAUCUGAUUAAAAUCCUCCUCCUCACAACAAAAAGCCGGAGCUCUUGGAAAGCAGCAGGGGAGGUCUGGGACACACACACACACACACACACACACACACACACACGCACACACACGCCCACACACAGAGAAAUGAGGAAGAGGAGAAAGCACGAGCACACACCUUCCGGAGAACAAAAAAAAAGAAAAAAAAGAGUCUUCAUCGUGCAUAAAAAUGACAACUCACUUGAAUGACUCAUACCCUCUCCUUUAGGUGCAACUCGCACUCACAAGCGCGCACGGUGCCACGGCACAUCAAGUCAAAGUUAGAGAGCGUGUUUAACCUAAUCACACUCAGCCAUGCGUGAUCCUCAGAGGGGGGGAGUCAGGUCUGUUAUGACAGCCGAUGCGCUGUGUGACGGCCGAGGGGGGUUCAGAGGGCACCGACCAGCAGCCUGCUUCCAGGGAGCGCGCAGACAGACCGCUGUCGCUUUACAUCCGCAUGACGGACAUGUGGGGACGGACGGACGGCCGGAGAGAAAGCCGACCCGCGGUCAAACCCAACAAGUGACUAAUUGUGCGAUUCGUUUCGGUAUCGCUGGUCCAGCUGGGGAGACGGGGCAGAAAGGGUUCUGUCGGAUCCGAUCCGCACCAUGUGAAAAGUCUCAGGGAACUGCUUUGUGAUUCACUGUUUACCUGUGGGGAGGUAACAGUAGUAAGAUGGCUGUCUGAAUGAGUCUGCGUGAGGCCUCGGCUAAUAAUGCUACAGGACAGAUGCAACAACAACAAGAACAAAAAAAAGAAACAUCUGGAAUCAAACACGGACACUGACUCAUUUUGAUUAUUCAGCCUUCCUACAAAAAUAAUACAGCGGGGAAACAAACCCGCUGCUGGGGGCGUGGAAACGGAGGAGCUGAACACAUGAAGGAUGUCAGACAAACUCAUUUUAUCCUCUUUUAAAAAAAUAAAUAAAUAAAAAAUUAGUUUUUUACAAAAAUUGGACAUAUGAACCAUCAUAUUAAUGAACGAACAAUGGCCAAAAGAACUGCUGUGUCUAUCGAUAUCUGAUACUAAUGUUGCUUUUUUGGCCUAUUACCAAUAUUUACUGAUAUUAUGCAUAUUAUAAGUAUUUCACUACUUUGAAAAAAUGACCACAGUGCUAACUUGCCACAAUCCUGCGCUGGAUCACGGUCACAUGACCAGUGAUGUUCAAGUUCAAACGGCAACAGGGUGGAUUUAAGUAUCAGUUGUUUAUAAAGUCCCAGUUGUAUUUGUCGGCCGAUACGAUACGUUCAAAAUAUACUAAUAUUGGCCGAAGUUGUUGUGCAUCCUUACUAACAACCAAACUCCUCGCAAUGGUUUACAUUUUAUUUAAUUAGCUACCUCCAACUUAAGACCUGAACCUGCAAAAACAAGGCUGGGCAAGAAGAGCAUUAAUCAGGGAAGCAGCCAAGAUUGCCAUGGCAACUCUGGAGGAUGUGCAGAUGUCGACAGCUCGGGUAGAAGAACCAAUUGGGAUGCAUGAGGAGGAACUGUUUGGUUGCACAUACAAAACACAUUGAAACGGCUUUCACAUUUUUACCUGGAACACAGAGAGUCUCUAGGACUCUGUCGCCUCUGAGGCAGAAGGAAAAGAAGCUAAAGCAGCUCAGAAUGUCAACAGAACUGAUUUGUUUUUUGUUUUUUUUCACGAGCCACCAUCAAGUGUGUGCAUAUGUAAAGAAGCAAGUUUAUAAUAAUAAUAAAGAGCCCACCAUCAUCCAGCAGAAAUGAUCAGAGAAACAGUCGAUUAAUAUCUCAGAUCUUUGGGUUUGAACUCCACGAAUCUGGCUUUUAUUGAACAUUGUCGAGAAGAAAAUCGUAGCUGAAACGAAGCAUGGCAGUGGCAGCGUCAUGCUGGGGAGAUGAGGAAGCUGAUCAGAAAUGAUGGGAGGUUAUAUGGAGUAGCUUAAACAACCAGAGCUAAUAUGGGCUUCUGGUUAUAUUGUGAGAAAAUGCACAGUGCUCUAUUUACUACUCUAAGCCUCUCAACAGAACCCCCGUUUUAAAACAUUAAAACAGCUUGUGAAUGCAAAUGAAUCCUCUUUGUCAUUGACACACACUUUGUCUGGUGAACUUUUAUUUGUUUUCAGAAAUAACUGGUUUAUUAUUUCAGUUAUAAAUAAUGCUAUUUUUAAUCUCAGUGUGUAUUUUGUCAUGUCAGUAUCUUUAUUUUUAAUAGAUCCACUGGUUUUGAGAAGACGUCUUAAGCUCUAAGCAACAAACUAAUUAGUUUUAACUCAGGUUUUCGUAGCUGUACUAAUAUUCUGAAAGUAUUCCAAAGUUUUACCAGGUUUUUUGGAAGUACAGUCAAUUUUUAGGGAUUUUUACACCGAAAAUUAAAGUCGUUUACAAUAAAGUGUACGUUUCUAUUAUUAUUCUUUAAAAAUCAGAAGCGUUUUUGUACUGUAGCUUGGCAUUUUGAAACAACAA